UACAGAGGGUGCGAGCGUUGUCCGGAAUCACUGGGCGUAAAGGGCGCGUAGGUGGCUCGUUAAGCGUGUGGUGAAAGCCUGGGGCUCAACCCCAGGUCUGCCGUGCGAACUGGCGAGCUUGAGCAGGGUAGAGGCGGGUGGAAUUUCGGGUGUAGCGGUGGAAUGCGUAGAUAUCCGAAAGAACACCGGUGGCGAAGGCGGCCCGCUGGGCUCUUGCUGACACUGAUGCGCGACAGCGUGGGGAGCAAACAGG
rnacentral:rRNA from 1 species